rnacentral:lncRNA from 1 species
GGAGCCUGGCCCGGGCUAUUGCAGGUGGAGACGAGAAGGGGGCAGCCCAAGUGGCAGCCGUCCUGGCCCAGCAUCGUGUGGCCCUGAGUGUUCAGCUUCAGGAGGCCUGCUUCCCACCUGGCCCCAUCAGGCUGCAGGUCACACUUGAAGACGCUGCCUCUGCCGCAUCCGCCGCGUCCUCUGCACACGUUGCCCUGCAGGUCCACCCCCACUGCACUGUUGCAGCUCUCCAGGAGCAGGUGUUCUCAGAGCUCGGUUUCCCGCCAGCCGUGCAACGCUGGGUCAUCGGACGGUGCCUGUGUGUGCCUGAGCGCAGCCUUGCCUCUUACGGGGUUCGGCAGGAUGGGGACCCUGCUUUCCUCUACUUGCUGUCAGCUCCUCGAGAAGCCCCAGCCCAGCUGGUCCUGUCCUUCCUGCACCUUCAUCAAUGCCCCAGACCGCCCUGGCUGUGAGAUGUGUAGCACCCAGAGGCCCUGCACUUGGGACCCCCUUGCUGCAGCUUCCACCUAGCAGCCACCAGAGGUACCAGAGGUGGCACAGGCAGGGGAGGUGGGGGGCAGGGCAGAAUCCACAGGAAUGACCCAGCUCCUCCCCCACAGGUUACAAGGGGAGAGUGGCCCUUCCCUCACAAGUCCGACAUCUCCAGGCCCCCACUGAACUCCGGGGACCUCUACUGACUGCUUGCUGGGACAGUCACCAGGGUUGGGGGGAAGGGCCACAAAAUGAAACCAUUAAAGACCCUUAAG